UCCGGCUUGUCGCCGGCGGUCCCUUUAGAGUGCCCAACUGAAUGAUGGCAACUAAAGGCGAGGGUUGCGCUCGUUGCGGGACUUAACCCAACAUCUCACGACACGAGCUGACGACAGCCAUGCAGCACCUGUGUUCCCGUUCCCUUUCGGGCACACCCGGGUUUCCCCAGGCUCCAGGACAUGUCAAGGGUAGGUAAGGUUUUUCGCGUUGCAUCGAAUUAAACCACAUGCUCCACCGCUUGUGCGGGCCCCCGUCAAUUCAUUUGAGUUUUAACCUUGCGACCGUACUCCCCAGGCGGCAUAUUUAACGCGUUAGCUCCGGCACAGACCAAAUGAAUGGCCCACACCAAAUAUGCAUCGUUUACGGCGUGGACUAC
rnacentral:misc_RNA from 1 species